AGCACCUUUCCACACUAACCCAUCUCACCUCCCCAAGUUCCUGAUCAUUGUGGGGAGGGACUCGUCACCGCCCUUUCUCAGACAGCCACACGUCUCUUGCACAAGCACACUCCUCUGGUAUACAUUCAGGUUUUGUUUGUCUAUCCACUUUCCCGUCUCUGGUUUACCUGAGAAUAUCCUGGGUCAAGGUAGAGGGAGCUCAGAGAAUGUGAAAGCCCCCCUGGUCUCGAUGGGGGGCCGCUCAGGUGAGUGGGCAGAAAAGGGAGCUGAUUCACUGGCUCCUCCUGACUUGGUUCCUACAGCUGACUGAGCCGGAAGUCACUUCCUCGUGUGCAAAUAGAGUUCUCAAUGGCCACUUGGUUCGAGUGCCCGGAGCCUGGGCUGCGAGUCUCUUAAGUGGAAUUAAUAUGGUGUGUUGGUAGAGGCUAAUUAAUGAGCUGUAGACAAGCCAAAGCCUCAAAUCACUUGUAUGACAAGAAAUUACUGGGGAAAAAAAAAAA
rnacentral:lncRNA from 1 species